GACGAACGCUGGCGGCGUGCCUAAUACAUGCAAGUAGAACGCUGAAGGAGGAGCUUGCUUCUCCGGAUGAGUUGCGAACGGGUGAGUAACGCGUAGGUAACCUGCCUGGUAGCGGGGGAUAACUAUUGGAAACGAUAGCUAAUACCGCAUAAGAGUAGAUGUCGCAUGACAUUUGCUUAAAAGGUGCAACUGCACCACUACCAGAUGGACCUGCGUUGUAUUAGCUAGUUGGUGAGGUAACGGCUCACCAAGGCAACGAUACAUAGCCGACCUGAGAGGGUGAUCGACCAAAAUGGGACUGAGACACGGCCCAGGCUCCUACGGGGAGCAGCAGUAGGGGAUCUUCGGCAAUGGACGGAAGUCUUACCGAACAAAUCCGCGUGAGUGGAGAAGGGUUUCGGAUCGUAAAGCUCUGUUGUAAGGGAAGAACGAGUGUGAGGGUGGAAAGUUCACGCUGUGACGGUAUCUUAACAGAAAGGGACGGCUAACUACGUG
rnacentral:rRNA from 1 species